UGGGGAAUAUUGCACAAUGGGCGCAAGCCUGAUGCAGCAACGCCGCGUGAGGGAUGACGGCCUUCGGGUUGUAAACCUCUUUUAGUAAGGAAGAAGGGAAGCUUGCUUCUUGACGGUACUUGCAGAAAAAGCACCGGCUAACUACGUGCCAGCAGCCGCGGUAAUACGUAGGGUGCGAGCGUUGUCCGGAAUUAUUGGGCGUAAAGAGCUCGUAGGCGGUUUGUCACGUCUGCUGUGAAAUCCCGAGGCUCAACCUCGGGCCUGCAGUGGGUACGGGCAGACUGGAGUGCGGUAGGGGAGAAUGGAAUUCCUGGUGUAGCGGUGGAAUGCGCAGAUAUCAGGAGGAACACCGAUGGCGAAGGCAGUUCUCUGGGCCGUAACUGACGCUGAGGAGCGAAAGCGUGGGGAGCGAACAGG
rnacentral:rRNA from 1 species